ACAUAAAUCUCUACCCUUCAUUCUACUAUGGCAUUUUUGUAAAUAUUUGAUCCAUCCAAGGGUUAUCAUAAAUGGCAUUUUGGUAAAACUAGGAUUAGAUUUCCAAAAUUUGAAACGUAGAAACGCAGACAUUCUGUGAAACCCUAACCGUAUUCCCAUACCUCACCCUCCUUCUGUCUCCCUCUCUUCGAUCGCUUUCCUAGCUCCACCGACUGGCGCGGCGAGCCACCACCGACCGGCGCGCGAUCAAGAGCAGCAUCACCUUCCUCGACACCUCCGAUUGCUACAGUCCAGACACCAAUGAAGUACUCCUCCGUAAGCCAAAAUAUUCCCAAACCGGAAAGAGCAAAUCCACCCACGCAUUAUUUUCGAGUUCAAUUGAUCUAAGAGUAAUGGGUUUUCAAAGGGAACGAAGGGUUGACAAAAGCGUCGGCGGUCAACAUCAGAACUUCAGGUUGGCAUUCCGCCGGCAAAAGGGGAAGCGACUUUUUAACACACGUCUCCCCCAUCCUCCACCCACACCACCGCUCACCUUGCCCCUGAUCAAAGACAAAGAACCUCCCCUUGCAGCAGUAGGCCCGUCCACCGAUGACCACCAACAUCAUCCCAUCACCACCAUGGAGUGAUUCGGCCCGUCUUCUUUUCUGUCCUCCAUCUCCUCUAGCGAAAUCACGACAACGAUAACAACCAGGGAUGUGGAGAUAUGGAAGGUUUCGAAUGGGGAAGGCAUGUAUGGGUAUAUUGGCUAUGAGGCUGCCCUUUUUGAUGGCACUUAAAAAAUGCUUUUUGAAAAACUGGUGAUACUACAUUCUAAUAAUUGCAUAUUGUGGUUCAACGUGAAAUUGAGUACUUGCAAUGCUCCAAGGGUAAUCAAGAAGCUGUUGACUUUGGUGGUGUGCUUAUGGAUGACAAAGGAGCAUGGAAUUCAGGAGUGCAUCCUCGGACAAGGAGAGACUCAAGUGGAAAUGGAGAUGGAUUUGCUGCAAGUAGUGAAUCUAACCAAAGAAAAUCCAGCUCCUCAUCGCCCUCAUAGGAAUCUGAUUGAGAAUUGUCAGAUUUGUAGUAAGAGCUCUAUGAAUCACACUCCACAAGAGGGGCAAAUUAAUUAAGUGACUGAUGUUCUGGAUUAUGUUGGCGAGACUCAAUGGUGGUGUUAAUAUGAAACACUCAAUUGUGAUUUCCAAAAGGGAAAUCUUCUUGCAGCUAACAUUGUAG